UCCCAUGUCCAGGACCCAAAGACGAUCGCAUUUAUCCGCCCAGAUGCGAAAUACUGAUACAACUUCCGGUACCUUACCAUCGCCAUGUCGAUGUGCCUCCCACGAAGGAUAGGGAUUAAGAAGUGGUGACUCUUUCGUAUCUAAUGAUGCUUACGAAGAUCAGGAAGGAAUUGUGUAUGAAGCUGGAAUGGAUAUAUAAUUCGUUUCCAAGAAACGAUGUCAUCCAUCUACUAAUCAGAUGAGUUUCAGCAGCCAUUUUCAAAACCACCAUUUUGGAAAAAAAGAAGUUUUUUUCAAGUAAUUUCAUAUAUAUGCUUUCAUAUGUAAAAA